rnacentral:rRNA from 1 species
AUGCCCGUGUUGAUUGGUUCCACCGGCCAGAUGCCACCCGCCACUGCAGUCAACUACAUCACAUGGAUAUUUGUUGGGUUUUUGUCAGGCUAUGUGGUCUAUAGAUACCGACGUGACUGGUGGGAGCGACACAAUUAUCUGCUUUCAGGUGCACUAGAUGCUGGUUUGGCAUUCAUGGCCGUGUUAAUUUACCUGUGCCUAGGCUUGGAGAACAUCAGUUUGAACUGGUGGGGCAAUGACUUGGAUGGAUGUCCCCUGGCUUCUUGCCCCACUGCUAAAGGUAUAUUUGUUGAGGGGUGCCCAGCAGUGUAUACGUGA